rnacentral:lncRNA from 1 species
AUUCAAGAUGGACGGCAGGGAGUGUGGAAGGAGAAAGGGGGCGAGGGGGGAAGAGCGAGAUCGGCAGAGGAGAGGGUCUCCGCGGCCCACCGGCCUCGCAACCUCGGUCCCGGCCGGCGGGUGGCGGGGCGGCCGCUGGGGAUCCAAGCCCGGCCCGGGAGAGGGGCUGGCGGGGUGCGAGAGGGCGUGAGCGAGGGGGAGCGAGGCCAGGGAGGGGAGCCAAGAGGGAGGGAAGGGCAGAGAAAGAGCCCGGGAAGAAGGAGGUGGCAGGCAGAGGAUCCUAACGAAGAGCAAUGUCUCUCACAGAAAAUGUCAGCUACCGAGUGGAGCCCCGUGAGCAAGAGGCGCUGUUCAGCUGGCCCGCAACCCACGUUGACCCUGUCUCAGGAAACAGGAAGGACCCAGCACCCAGUGGGGUUGCACUGUCAGUCCAGUCCCCAGACAGCCCAAGGGAACUUCCAUCUGGAGAGAACUGGACAGCCCCUGCCUUUGAUAAUCCACCCCUUUAAGACUAGAGCCUGGGCCUUCUUUUUCCACCGUUAUGAUUUCAAUUCUCCCCCGGCUCCCCAUGUGAGAACUUCAGAUUGAGACCCUCUUUGCAAAAGGGGAGGCAAAGACUGAAGGCACAAGAUCACCUGAUGGAUUCCCCCCUUUCUCCACAGAGGAAAAUUACUCACUCACACACAAGCACAAGCACACGCACAAGGAAAGAGGUAGACUCACACGGAGUUAAACAGGUAGGCUCGGCCAUGGCUCCCUUGGAAGGACUGUGGAGACAUAGGACAGACAAUGACUACCAAGCAGCCUUCAGCCCCACUGCCUGAAUCCCCGCAGGGGUGUGUAGGAGAGAGGAAGAGCUUUGCUGCCUCACCCCUGGGUGAUGUUCAGGCUAGCCUGGUGCGCGAGAGGAGGGGAAUGGCAGGUCCCCGCUUCGCGUACCUUGGAAAUAAGCUCAUCGUGUUUGGCCAGGUGUGCACGGCAGUGGACACAGCUGUAAGUGCGGUGACAGCGGGGCAGAUAGCUGCGGAAAGUCUUGGUGGGGAGGCAGGCAGGGCCCGGACCGGGGUCACAGCUGGGCAUGACGGGCUGGAGGACAAUGCCCUGGUGGGCUGGAGGGGCUGGCGCCGUGCAGCCCCCGCAGAGACGGUCGCAGGUGAAGCAGCGGAGCAGGUUGGCUAGAGCCGUGUUUCAGGGCAGGAGAAGUGUUGGGGGGCUGCCCGGCCAGGGCCCCCCCAGACGAGAACCAGAUAGAAAUAGAAGUCACCUGGGAAGAGGGGAAAGGACAUCAGGGGAGCUGCGACCUCAGGAGGACCCCUCCUGAGGGAAUGGAGGAAAAGGGAAUCAGCUCACCCAUACCUCUACUUUCCCCAUCACCAUCGACCCCCCCACAGCAUCCAGUUGCAUUGUCGCCCUGUCCCCUGGAUCCCCAUUCUGCUCUGGCAAACCUGGCAGCCGAUCCAGGCUUCUGGCGCCAAAGCCAGGGAGUCGGUGUUUCUCCCUCCUGGGGCAGAAGCAGCCUCCACCAUUUUCCACAGAGAGAAGCCCACGGGCACAGACGCUGCCAUGGGAGCAACGUCAUCUGCAAGUGCCCUCUCCUUGGUUUUCAGUUCUUCGUGAGGCUCUGCAUCGCACAGGCACUGUGUCUCAGGGGAUCAGAGCCUUUUAAGAGUUGGGGAUGCCUGAAGGUCUUUCUUUUACAUGGUCUUUGUUUGCAAUACAAUUGGUCCUUUAUACAUUUUGGGGAGGGGGGCAGGAGGUGUAAGGUGAGGGGAGGGAGAGCAUGCAGGCAGGUAUACAAACCCUGAUUCGGUUCUCUCCUGAGGUCAGGGUCCUGUGCUCUGGGACUCUUCACUAGAACUUUAUAGAUGUUUCCAACAGUACCAAAGCCCUCACGUGUGGCCGCCCAUUCUCGCACCUUGGUUCAC